UCUCUCAUCUCUUUUCCUUCUCUCCCGUUUCAACCCUCAAUUCAUCUCUUCCAGACUUCCCUCACCGACGUCGUCCCAUGCAUUCCGCCAUAAACCUUCUCUCAGGCCACCGCCACUAACUGCCAUAGGCCUCUUCUCAUUCUGCCUCCUCCACCUCUGGAAUUUUCUCCUCGAAGAAGGACAUUUUCGCCCUCCUCUCUGGAAGAUCAAAGGCUACGGGUUUGAUCUCAGUCGUAGCCCUCAAUUUGGUUUCCCCAAUCACUUUCUUUACUUUUUCAAUUUGGGUUGCAUAUGUAUUUAGAAAAAUCAAUUUGGUUGAAGAUCAUCAAUACUCGCGGCUCCCUACUCUUCACGGUGCGACAGUGAUGGGCGAUGACUCAGCCUCUCCUACCAUAAUAUGCAACGUAGCAAUCUUUCUAUUCCAUUGGGUGCAUAGAGUUGUGCGAAGUUUGCUGGAGUUGGAAGACUUUGAUCACAUAUCUACUGGGGAUUUGAUCGCCGACUCAAUAGCAAGGUCCCCCCCACCGAGAAGAAUCAUCGUCGGAGCUUCUUCUCACUGUGCUUCUGUAACUCCGUUAGAAGCCUUCAAAUCCCCGAUUUCGAUUAUGGAUGACAACGUAUGAGUCCUCUCUACACGCACAGUGAGUGAUGAUCAAUUUAUAUUUUAUAAAGUGAGGUAAUUACUUCCUCUUGAUAAUCCGAAUUACUAUUGUUGUUACAGCUUCAAAUUAGUGAAAUUGUACGUUCAAAAAAAGUUUAGUGAAAUUGUUUGGGAUUUUGUUCUUUUGAUAAUUUUGAGUUCUUCCCUAAUUUUACAACAAAUUGGAGACUAUAAAAUGCAAUCCCGUCGCCACUACUCACGGCCACACUAAGCCGCCACCAUGGUCCUUCGGAGCUACUUCAAACCCUAAUUUUGUGCGGCCAAGCCCAUCUUCUUCCCUAAUUUUGGAACUGUAGGAGGCUGAAAAUGGAAUUCCGUUAAUUUCUCCUUUAUAAUGCGCAGCUUACUAAGGUGUCUGAACGGGAAGAACAUUCAGGGUAUUCUAUGUGAGAGGCUGAGAGCUUGAACAUCACAAAAUAUGAUCGAAGGCUGAGCAUAGGAAGAGCUAUACACAGGUUGUGCUUCUCUCAAGUCGUUUCCUUUAAUCUUCUUUGAAUCUGUUUAUCUCACUGACUUAUCUUUUACUAUCAUUAAGGUAUGGAGAAACUUCUAUUGUGUAUUAGUUGCAAUUUUAGUAUACAUAUUCACCCUCCUCUCUGGAAGAUCAAAGGCUACGGGUUUCAUUUUGCUGAUAUCACUGAUGGAUUCGCGAGUCAUAUUGAUUUCCGUAUGUUAUGAUGUUCGCCGUUUUGCUGAUAUCAGAUGGAUUCGCCAGUCAUAUUGAAUUCCUCAUACUAGCUUCCAUUAUUAGAUACGAAUUUCAUGGUCUUUGGUUUCAUCUCUUCUAUAGUAUUUCUUUUGCUGCUCUAUUGUUUCAUGAUGUUUAGGGCUUCUGGGAAUUAGGAUUUAACCAAUCUCUCUAUCUUUCUUCUAUUAAUCAGUGAUUUGAAGUGCUUGAUCUGGUCUGAAUCAACAACCGCCAUGUGGUUAGUGCUCCUUUCCCAAAAAUUUGCUGAUUUUAAUCAAACUUCAUUCUUUACAACAAAAGUCCUAUUAAGUCCUAUUAUUCUUACUUUCUUCAUCUUUGCAAAUUAUUAAUCUGUCUGCCAGUAUAACUGGGUAUGAAACGGUUAGUUGGCUUUUGCUAUAGGCAGGAUUGAAAGGUAAGUUGAAGAUCUAGAAUUAGUGGGUAUAGCUUCUGAUGACAGUAUAACUGGUCACUUGGUUUUAGACUUCAGCUCCUUUCUUAUGUUCCCUGCUCCUUUUUCUAUAUUAAGUUUGAAAGUUUGUAUCCUACGUUUCUGUAUCCUAUGUGUUAUAUGUGAAAUAAUGGCAAUUUACUCUCUCAAACCAUUAUUGUCUCUUGCUAUAUCAUUCAAUUAAUAUAGCAAUAAUGGCUUUGCAUAAUCCAAAAUAUGAUGGUUUUACAUUUCCUCAGAUUUGUGCGUUGGUCAAAUUGACCAUUCCUAGACUAAAGGAAAUACACCAUUAAUCUUUCUAUCAGCAAUUAUAGCAUAUAAAUAGGCUUUAUUGCCUUGUCUUCUUCGUGGACUAUAGACAUGAGGGAAAAAGCUGAAUGACACAGAGAUCACAACCAAGUAUUCAUAUCUCAUCUUCUUCAUUUCACACUCCUGAUUCUCAUCUUGUGUUCAUAGCUAUCCCAAACAGCUCAGUGUCUGAACGGGAAGAACAUUCACGGUAUGGCAUGGGAGAGCUUGAACAUCACAAAAUAUGAUGGCAGAACGAUCAUAGAGAGAGCCAUACACAGCGUUGAAGAUGAAUGCAGUAGAGUUAAGGCCUUGAGAUUUUUGGAAAGAAGUUCUCACUGGAGAAAACAUUAGCAGUAAGGUUUGAAGGCAGAGCUACCUUACUGAAGACCACAGAUACAUGAAACAAUUACUCACUGGAGAAAACUUGCAUCUUCUUUGUGCAUUAGAGUAUCUAAUGCAGAUUGUAAUAAUUUUUAUGGUUUUCUACAACUGAUUCUGCCUCAUUGUGAUAUAGCAGCAAGUUUUAACAGUUGUAUAUGCAAUUUGGGAGCAAAAGAAAAAUGUGAAAUUUCAUAAUAGGAUGUAUCCUGCUGAUAUUGUUAUUAGCAAGACAUUUUUCUCUGAAACUUUAUCCUCAAGAUCCUUAGAUGUGUUAUUGUAGAUUCCUGCACUCCGGUCACGGAUAAUGGGAGGGAGAUUAUUAACCGAAAAUUACACGCUCACUCUUUAGAAAUUUUUAUGUUCAAACUGCUGCUGCCGUUGAUAUUCAUUCUUGCUUCUGCAUUAUCCCAAGAUAUUGAAUCCAAGCUCUGCUCGCGUGCGCCUCUGGCAGGCUUCCCUCAAGGAAAAUGAUGCCAGGGUUAUUGAAGGAUUCUUAAGGAUCCCUGAAAUUGAUGGUUUAAUUAGUGGUUCAAUCUUCUUGAAAAAUAAAUUUGCUGUCGUCCUCAAAGAGAACGCAAUCGUCGAUGUCUCGUGGUCACAGUAUAUUUUUUCCUGAUUUUGUCAUAUGCUGAUUAGAGUUUGAGGCUUUCUAAGGUUUGAAGGAUGGAGUGGUGAUUGCCUGAAUGGGGAUCAUUGAAGAUUGAGUACAUUUUGUGGAUUGAAGACUCUUAUUUGACCCACAAGAUUCACUCAGAUUCACAAGUAAGAAUGAUAUAGAGGAUGAUGCAGGGACAGAACUGAUAAAUCCUUUUUGCUUGCCUGUAUAAUGGUCAUUUGUUCUUAAGCUGCUGGGCACUAAAAGGAUGUACGCAGGUUGACAUACAGCUCAGUUAGGUUACUUUAUUAUUGGUAUUUUUUAAGUAGUAGAUUCUGUGUCAUGGCUUCUUAGUGUUACUUUAAAGUUUGUGCUGAUUGGGUUCUUGGCUUCUACUGUUGAUAAUUCAGCACAUAUUGCUUCCUUUAUUUUUUUGGUGACAAUCUAUAGCAUUAUCGUUGCAUGUAUAAUCAUAAGAAGCAAAAAUAUGGUGGGUGCUGAUGUAAAUAGAUUGAAGCUGAAUUUUGAAUAUAUAUAGUAAUCAUUAUUACAUUUGAAUAUGUUUGUUGGUGUUAAUAUGCGGGAGCUUAAUUAUUGAAUAUGGUAUAGAAGUGGUUGGAACUGAGCCAACCACUUUUAUUGUGCAGGGAUUGAAUGAACAUGAAACAGAGAGGUCAGAAAUUUCUGAGCCUGUAGCUCAUCAGAUCUGAAUCCUACCCUUUCUUGAGAUAAGUGCUUCCCUUUCCGUGUGUUUUUCUUCUCAACUCAUGUAUUGUUGUCGUUGUGUUUAAAGUUCGUAUCUUUUGGUCCUAAAACCUUUUUCGCAUUUCUUAUUUGUCAAUAAAUUUGAGGGAGCUACAAGAGUAGUGGAUCAAAGAGGAGAUUUUUGGUCACCCCAGUCGAAGGUUCAUCUUUCAGGUUCUUUUUCUCAUAUUCACGCCGCUCUUGCUUUAAAUAUUUUACCAAAAUCAAUCAGCAAAUUCAGGAUCCAUUUCAAUUGGAUUAGUGGGUUUUGAUUCAUAGUUGGAAGUUUGGUAGUCUUCCUUGCUUUCUUUUCCUUUAUAUUUGCACUCUGCUAAUUUAAUUUGCUGAACUGGCGGCAAUCAUAUUGGAGAUUGUCCCGUCCUUCUCUUUUAUUAUUUUGGAACAUGAAAAAAAUGGUUUCUUUAUGAUUUUAUAGUUUCUUGCAGCUGCCUUUUCUCUUUCAAAUGUAAUCAUGCUUGAUUCUAUUAACUAACUUCUACCUACAACUAAGCUUGGCCUCUUCUCCAUCUCCUUCCUUCUGGCUUAACCUCACUAACAAUUAUAAACAAUAGUUAUUGUUUUGAGAUAGUUACUUUAUAGCUAUGAUCACUUCGAUUUAAUUUAUUAAUUUUUCCAAGUUCUUUUAGAAUUCUUGGAUUACGAAUGCAUAUUCGUGCCAUAAGUAAUUGCAAUUCAUGAUAGCUGUCUGAGGUCAAUAGUGAGCGCAUUCAUUGGCUAAGCCUAAUAUUAUUGUUGAGUAUGCCAAAAAAUUCAGAGAUGAAGAAACACCUUGGUCAGAGGCAGCGUUAUUGUUGUCGAGUGUGCUAAAAAAAUCAGAGAUGAAGAAACACCUUGGUCAGAGGCAGAGUUCAGAGAGAAGAGAAUCCUUCCUGCCAAUUUUAGAUACCUUUAUGUUUAUUAUAGAGCAGCAACUUGCUUACGCAUAAGGGAGUGACAUACCCUAUGCAGAAUCAGUGAAGCAAAAUGUAAAUAUAUUGUUGAAUAAAGAUCUUGUGGAUAUGUCUUUUCUUUCACUUUCCUUUCGAUCUGUGUAGCUUUGCAAGGCUAAGUGCAGGCCCUUUCCAGCUUUUGAAAAAAACCAAGACUAUAUAUACCCAUGUUUAAUGCUUUGUUCUUUUGGUUGCGUAUGCAAUAUAAAUUGAUAGAUUGAGGAUCUC